UACGAAGGAUCCAAGCGUUAUCCGGAUUUAUUGGGUUUAAAGGGUGCGUAGGCGGCUUAUUAAGUCAGUGGUGAAAGCCUGCAGCUUAACUGCAGAACUGCCAUUGAUACUGAUGAGCUUGAGUAUAGUUGAGGUGGGCGGAAUGUGUCAUGUAGCGGUGAAAUGCUUAGAUAUGACACAGAACACCGAUUGCGAAGGCAGCUCGCUAAACUAUAACUGGCGCUGAGGCACGAAAGCGUGGGGAGCGAACAGG
rnacentral:rRNA from 1 species